rnacentral:rRNA from 1 species
CCUACGGGGGGCAGCAGUGAGGAAUAUUGGUCAAUGGGCGAGAGCCUGAACCAGCCAAGUCGCGUGAGGGAGUACUGCCCUAUGGGUUGUAAACCUCUUUUGUCGGGGAGCAAAAGCCGGACGUGUCCGGCUGUGAGAGUACCCGAAGAAAAAGCAUCGGCUAACUCCGUGCCAGCAGCCGCGGUAAUACGGAGGAUGCGAGCGUUAUCCGGAUUUAUUGGGUUAAAAGGGUGCGCAGGCGGAUUUUUAAGUCAGCGGUAAAAUCGUGGGGCUCAACCCCAUCCAGCCGUUGAAACUGGGGAUCUAGAGUGGGCGAGAGGUAUGCGGAAUGCGUGGUGUAGCGGUGAAAUGCAUAGAUAUCACGCAGAACCCCGAUUGCGAAGGCAGCAUACCGGUGCACAACUGACGCUCAGGCACGAAAGCGUGGGUAUCGAACAGGAUUAGAUACCCUUGUAGUC